rnacentral:rRNA from 1 species
AUUGAACGCUGCGGCAGGCCUAACACAUGCAAGUCGAGCGAGCGGCGGACGGGUGAGUAAUGCUUAGGAAUCUGCCUAUUAGUGGGGGACAACAUCUCGAAAGGGAAGCUAAUACCGCAAACUAAUAGAUGAGCCUAAGUCGGCUUAGCUAGGUGGUGGGGUAAAGGCCUACCAAGGCGACGAUCUGUAGCGGGGCUGAGAGGAUGAUCCGCCAAUCUGGGACUGAGGAACGGCCCAGACUCCUACCGGAGGCAGCCGUGGGGAAUAUUUGACAAUGGGGGGAACCCUGAUCCAGCCAUGCCGCGGGUGUGAAGAAGGCCUUAUGGUUGGAAAGCCCUUUACGCGGGGAGGCGUUACUCGCAGAAGAAGCACCGGCUAACUCUGUGCCAGCAGCCGCGGUAAUUC